UACGUAGGGUGCGAGCGUUGUCCGGAAUUAUUGGGCGUAAAGAGCUUGUAGGCGGUUUGUCGCGUCUGCCGUGAAAAUUCGAGGCUCAACCUCGAACUUGCGGUGGGUACGGGCAGACUAGAGUGUGGUAGGGGAGACUGGAAUUCCUGGUGUAGCGGUGAAAUGCGCAGAUAUCAGGAGGAACACCCGUGGCGAAGGCGGCCUUCUGGGUCCGCCCUGACGCUGAGGCGCGAAAGCGUGGGGAGCGAACGGG
rnacentral:rRNA from 1 species